CAGUGGCUCGAGGACGAACGCUGGCGGCGUGCCUAACACAUGCAAGUCGAGCGAGUGAAUCUCCUUCGGGAGUGAAGCCAGCGGCGGACGGGUGAGUAACACGUGGGCAACCUGCCUCAUAGAGGGAAUAGCCUUCCGAAAGGAAGAUUAAUACCGCAUAAGAUUGUAGCUUCGCAUGAAGUAGCAAUUAAAGGAGCAAUCCGCUAUGAGAUGGGCCCGCGGCGCAUUAGCUAGUUGGUGAGGUAACGGCUCACCAAGGCGACGAUGCGUAGCCGACCUGAGAGGGUGAUCGGCCACAUUGGGACUGAGACACGGCCCAGACUCCUACGGGAGGCAGCAGGUGGGAAUAUUGCACAAUGGGGAAACCCUGAUGCAGCAACGCCGCGUGAGUGAUGACGGCCUUCGGGUUGUAAAGCUCUGUCUUCAGGGACGAUAAUGACGGUACCUGAGGAGGAAGCCACGGCUAACUACGUG
rnacentral:rRNA from 1 species